GAUCCGGCUCAGAUUGAACGCUGGCGGCAGGCUUAACACAUGCAAGUCGAACGGUAACAUAAAGAAGCUUUGCUUCUUUGAUGACGAGUGGCGGACGGGUGAGUAAUGCUUGGGAAUCUAGCUUAUGGAGGGGAUAACUACGGGAAACUGUAGCUAAUACCGCGUAAUAUCGAAAGAUUAAAGUGUGGGACCUUCGGGCCACAUUGCCAUAGGAUGAGCCCGAAGUGGGAUUAGGUAGUUGGUGAGGUAAAGG
rnacentral:rRNA from 1 species